rnacentral:rRNA from 1 species
UACGUAGGCAGCAAGCGUUGUUCGGAGUUACUGGGCGUAAAGGGUGUGUAGGCGGUUGUUUAAGUUUGGUGUGAAAUCUCCCGGCUCAACUGGGGGGGUGCGCCGAAUACUGAAUGACUAGAGUGCGGGAGAGGAAAGUGGAAUUCCUGGUGUAGCGGUGAAAUGCGUAGAUAUCAGGAGGAACACCGGUGGUGUAGACGGCUUUCUGGACCGUAACUGACGCUGAGACACGAAAGCGUGGGUAGCAAACAGG